rnacentral:tRNA from 1 species
GCCUUCGUGGUGUAAUUAUUAGCACACUCGGCGCGUAUUCGAGACAUCCGAGGUUCGAAUCCCGGCGAAGGCA